rnacentral:tRNA from 1 species
CCUGUGGCUCAGAUGGUAGAGAAUCUGCCUGCAAUGCAGGUGACCUGGGUUCGAACCCUGGAUCAGGA